GACCGACGAGUACACGUACACGUUGUCGUCGGGCGGAGAACACCAUUGAAGCAGGCAACGGAUCUUGCACAAGAUUUUCAUAUGGGAAUUCAAGCAAGAGGUCCAAUCUACGAAGUUCAAAUAGAUUCACAACAAGUUGCCGCAAACAGUCUACGCGGCGAGCACUGUCCGGGUUUGAAUUGAGUGACUGAUAGGCUUCUUGGUGGUGUUCAAGCCGGAGAUGGUUGACAAAGGCAAUGGAAUGGAGAGUUGGCUAAAAAGGAGAAAAGGUAAUAUUCUGGAAUCAGGUUUGUAGCAGACUAUAUAUUCAAUCAAACUAACUAGGUACAUACUAGAUCUGGAUCAUCCCUUUCAGCUACUUGACUUGCCAUUUCAGCAAGCUGAAUUACACAGUCAGGAUAAUUUUGUUGCUCGAACAGCUGUAUCACCUACAAUUGUAAGAAAUAGGAUGUGAAUGGGUAGGCAUUCUUUUAAGAACCCCGUAAAAGCUCCAUGUAUAAAAAACUAACUUAUUUUUAAAAUAAAAUAAAAAUUGAUAUAAAAUUGCCGGUUACUUUAAUACACACGAACUUACUUUCAAGUAAUAAGUAACUAACAAUCGACUCUCUGAACUCUCCUCAAAUGCACCAAUUUGUCUAUUCAUAAAUGCUUCAUUCCUCAGCUCAUUGGAAGCUUCAACAAAUAGUUCAAGAGCUUUGUGAGCUUCACCCAUGUCAAGCAGAGCUGAGCCAAGUAAAAACUUUCCUUCAAAUAACAAAACAAGAGUGUGAUUUAGUUUCUCAUUAAUUCUUACCAUUUUGAUUAUCUGGACUUCAUUUAGAAAACAAAACUUACUUGAUCGUAUAUUUGACUCACACCAUUUGCUUGAAAGACGAACAUACUCCUGCACAAGCAAAUGCUGGCAAGAGGCUAAGAGGAACUCGGGAAACACAAAAUGGUCAGAUAUUGGCCAUCUUAGUACUCGUUAAGGAAUAAAAUGGCGAUUUCACAGUAAAGAAAAAGUCAACUUUAAGCAAAAUAGAGCAAUCUUAUGAGAAGGAUACAUCAGUUGGCAAAGUAAGGCCACAAAUGAAAGCAUUGAGAGGUCUGCCUCAGGACCAAGACAAGCUAACUGUCUGUGCACUUGCUGCACACCAGUUGCCUGAAGGAAGAGUUCAAGCAGAGAGUAAGUUUUUUGCAUUGCUCUGAGUGAGCCUAGAGAUGCAGCAAUAGCUGCAGCUGUACUGUUUGCAUCACUUAGUGUCAAGAUAGACAUUCUCUGAAUGCUGCUUUCC